rnacentral:misc_RNA from 1 species
GGGCAUUCCAGCUAUUUCUCUCUUAUAGUGUCUAAACUUGAAUGACUAAUAGAAAAAUGACUCAAAUAGGAAUCCCUUUUUAUUUUAAAAAAAAUAAAGUAACUUAGCAUGCUGAAGAUUGGGGAAGAGUUUGCAUUUACCAUUUCCCUUAUGGUGGGUAUUGUAGAAAGCUUCUUUAAAAUUUAGGUGGAAAUUAGUCUUACAUAUGCAGAUAGUUCUAUGCGUGUGUGCACUGCAUGUGUUUGCUCAUGCUCAAAUAAACUUCUGAAGGAAGGAAAUGUAAAACAACUUGCAAGUGAUGACCAAAUUCUGGGCUUUGGACGAAGAUUGCCUUAUUAAACAUAUGUUAGUUUGAUUUGAG